GCAGCCUGGAUAGCUCAGUUGUUUAGAGCACGGUGCUGAUAAUGCCAAGGUUGCAGGUUCGAUCCCCGUAUGUGACAGGUGCA
rnacentral:tRNA from 1 species